rnacentral:misc_RNA from 1 species
GAAAUGCGAUAAUUAAUGUGAAUUGCAGAAUUCAGUGAAUCAUCGAGUCUUUGAACGCACAUUGCGCCCCCUGGUAUUCCGGGGGGCAUGCCUGUCGGAGCGUCAUUGCUGCCCUCAAGCACGGCUUGUGUGUUGGGCUUCCGUCCCUGGCAACGGGGACGGGCCCAAAAGGCAGUGGCGGCACCAUGUCUGGUCCUCGAGCGUAUGGGGCUUUGUCACCCGCUCCCGUAGGUCCAGCUGGCAGCUAGCCUCGCAACCAAUCUUUUUAACCAGGUUGACCUCGGAUCAGGUAGGGAUACCCGCUGAACUUAAGC